rnacentral:tRNA from 1 species
GGUAGUGUGGCCGAGCCAGGCGGCGAGUUGUAGCCCCGCACACAGGAGACAUGCUCCUUACUA